UGCAGAGUACAGUUGGUUCAAUUCAAUGUCAGAGGCAAGGGAAUGACUUGUCUGUGCUGAAAAGGCAUGGAAGAAUAGUGGUGAGCAGACUGAAUGGCAGAGGAAAGAAUGCAGGUGAAAGUGUGGGCUAAGAGCUGCAGGAGGGCAGAGAUGGAUCUUCGGAUUACAUACAAUAUUUUGAUAUAGGAAAAUUAAAAGAACUGUUCUCCAUUUUCUUCUUGCUGCUGAGCCAGCCAGCAAAACAGUAGUUCUCAUCUUGCACUUGUAUUAUGAUAAGAUUCCAGAAAAAAUGGAAGAUGGACAUGUGACAGUAGAGAAGUGACUAAGGAUUCACUUUGUUGAGUCUUCUUAAUCUGCCAUCCUACUGCUCGUGUCUAUUUGUUGCUAGCAAGAAGACAAGAAGUCUGAUCUGCAUCUUGCAAUGUGAUCUACCUGCAACUAGGACAUAAAUUCUUGUUCUGAUAUGGAGAAAGUAGUUCCAGAGGGCCAAAGAGAUGAACUGUCCCUAUCCAGUCAGAUUGAGGGUCAUUGGCUUUGACAACACUGCCAAGUAAGUGGAAUCAUAAGAAGUCAUAGAUAUGAGAAAUGGAAAAGAUGGAUUUAUCAAAUCACCUCAUGAAUCUCAUUGCCAAUCCUGGAUUGUUUCCUCCAAGAUGUUAGGAUGUUUUCUAGUGUUUUGUUCAGGAGAAGAGAAGAUAGAGGAGAAGGUGGCCAACAAGAAGGCUGUCUGAAGAGACCCACCCAGAGCUACCUGGAAGAUGGUCAUCUCAGGCUCCAGGACAUGCAUGGCUAGGGCUGCCUCUCCCCCGACAUUGCAGAACAGGUAUGCUCCCCACACCAUGCAUGAGGAGACUCCGAUGGAGACACCACAGGAGGAGUUGCAAGCCAUGAACCUAGGAGGGAAGGAUGCAAUGAAGAAAUGAACUAAUGACUCCAGCAGUGGUACUACAGAGGUGGUUUUGGUUUAUUCAACCACAAUGCACACUUCAGGGAGAAAGGAGUCCUGGGAAGGGACAGCAUCCAACUCACAUGGAGGGUGCUUAUAGCCUUAUGAUCAGUAGGAAUCUUGACCUUCAGACUGAACUGACUAACAGAGUCAGAAAAGCAGUGAAGAACUUCAGGCUAUAGCAGAAACGUGUGUAGAAUAACAGCAAACUACCAUCUAAGGUGAAGAUGUGAAUCUAUGAGACUUGCAUGCUUUCCCCCCCACUUUAUGGUUCAGAAAUAUGGACUACAUACGCUAGACACAUCAAGAAACUGAACAGCUUCCACACAAGAUACCUGUGUGAGAUCCUGAAAAUAAAGUGGGAUUACAAAAUACCAAAGACAGAGGUGCCGGAGCAUGAAGGACUGACACACUUAGAAACCACUAUCAAGAAAAGGAGGUUGCAAUGGCUCAGCCAUAUCAGGAGAAUGGGAGGAGAAUGUAUCCCCCAGAAUAUUUUGUACAGUGAGACUCAAGACAAUUCUAGAAAGUGGGGUCACCCUCAGUGGGAGUACCACAACAUUCCCAAAUUGAUAUGAAGUCUUUCAACAUCAAUGUAGAAAGCUGGGAGGAGCAGGUAGAAUCCUGUCUGAUCUAGAGGGAACGUCUAGCACUGGGUGCAGCACAACAUGAAGAGGCUUUGAUCCAGAGUAUGGAAGCAAAGAAAGCUGCAUGCUGUAAACUUGGACUCCAACUCAGACAACGCAUGGAUCUGUGAAACUUGUAAUAAGUGGUGUCACACUCAAAUUGGGCUUGUCAGCCACAAGUGGAUUUAUCAGGCACCAGAGGAUCGACACUUCCCUACAUAGCAUUACAGUGUUUUUCAGAAUAUAUUAGUAGUAAAUAAAUUAUUGUCUGUUCUAAUUUUAAAUAACAGAAUAUGUGACAUUAUCUAAGGUAUAUCUUGGGAAAUGUACAGCAUAGUAAAUCUGAAAAAAAAGAAAAGUGAUAUAUUCUUUCAGUAUUAUAAUUAUUAUAUGAAGACAUUAAUAAACUAAUUGUUUAAACCUCUUAAGAACUGAAGUCUUCACAUUGGGGGCAACCUAAAAUGUUAAUACAUAAUUUUAAUAGGACAUAAUGAUUGUUUCAGAAAUUGCUAAGAUACAUACUACUCGUAC